rnacentral:rRNA from 1 species
UUAGCCCUAAACAUAGAUAAUUAUGUAAACAAAAUUAUUCGCCAGAGUACUACUAGCAACAGCUUAAAACUCAAAGGACUUGGCGGUGCUUCAUAUCCUUCUAGAGGAGCCUGUUCUGUAAUCGAUAAACCCCGAUAAACCUCACCAAUUCUUGCUAAUACAGUCUAUAUACCGCCAUCUUCAGCAAACCCUAUAAAGGAACAAAAGUAAGCACAAUCAUAAUACAUAAAAAAGUUAGGUCAAGGUGUAACCUAUGAAAUGGGAAGAAAUGGGCUACAUUUUCUUAAACUAAGAAAAUUAACACACGAAAACCAUUAUGAAAUUAAUAGUUAAAGGAGGAUUUAGCAGUAAACUGAGAAUAGAGUGCUUAGUUGAACCAGGCCAUGAAGCACGC